CGGGUGAGUAACGCGUGGAAAACCUGCCGUAUACUGGGGGAUAACACUUAGAAAUAGGUGCUAAUACCGCAUAAGCGCACAGCUUCGCAUGAAGCAGUGUGAAAAACUCUGGUGGUAUACGAUGGUUCAGCGUCUGAUUAGCUAGUUGGUGGGGUAAUGGCCUACCAAGGCAACGAUCAGUAGCCGGCCUGAGAGGGUGAACGGCCACAUUGGGACUGAGACACGGCCCAAACUCCUACGGGAGGCAGCAG
rnacentral:rRNA from 1 species